rnacentral:rRNA from 1 species
UACGUAGGGUGCGAGCGUUGUCCGGAAUUAUUGGGCGUAAAGAGCUCGUAGGCGGUGUGUCACGUCGUUCGUGAAAACCUGCAGCUUAACUGUGGGCGUGCGGUCGAUACGGGCAUCACUGGAGUUCGGCAGGGGAGACUGGAAUUCCUGGUGUAGCGGUGAAAUGCGCAGAUAUCAGGAAGAACACCCGUGGCGAAAGCGGCUCUCUGGAACGGUACGUGACGCUGAGACGGCGAAAGCGUGGGGAGCGAACAGG